CAGGCCUAACACAUGCAAGUCGAGGGGUAACGAUGUCUUCGGACAGGCGACGACCGGCGCACGGGUGAGUAUCGCGUUUGUAACCUACCUUUAACUGGAGAAUAGCCCGAAGAAAUUCGGAUUAAUACUCCAUAAUACUAUGAUCUGGCAUCUUUUUAUAGUUAAAGCUCCGGCGGUUAAAGAUGGACAUGCGUAACAUUAGUUUGUUGGUGAGGUAACGGCUCACCAAGACUACGAUGUUUAGGGGGUCUGAGAGGAUGGUCCCCCACACUGGUACUGAGACACGGACCAGACUCCUACGGGAGGCAGCAGUGAGGAAUAUUGGUCAAUGGGCGAAAGCCUGAACCAGCCAUGCCGCGUGAAGGAUGACAGCGCUAUGCGUUGUAAACUUCUUUUGUACAGGAAGAAACACUUCUACGUGUAGAAGCUUGACGGUACUGUACGAAUAAGCAUCGGCUAACUCCGUGCCAGCAGCCGCGGUAAUACGGAGGAUGCAAGCGUUAUCCGGAUUUAUUGGGUUUAAAGGGUACGUAGGCGGAAAAUUAAGUCAGUAGUGAAAUCCCGCAGCUUAACUGUGGAACUGUUAUUGAUACUGGUUUUCUUGAAUUUAGUUGAGGUAGGCGGAAUGUGUAAUGUAGCGGUGAAAUGCUUAGAUAUUACACAGAACACCGAUUGCGAAGGCAGCUUACUAAGCUAUGAUUGACGCUGAGGUACGAAAGCGUGGGGAGCGAACAGGGUUAGAUACCCUGGUAGUCCACGCCGUAAACGAUGAUCACUCGUUGUUGGCAAUAAACAGUCAGCGACUGAGCGAAAGCAUUAAGUGAUCCACCUGGGGAGUACGCUCGCAAGAGUGAAACUCAAAGGAAUUGACGGGGGCCCGCACAAGCGGAGGAACAUGUG
rnacentral:rRNA from 1 species